rnacentral:rRNA from 1 species
CCUACGGGUGGCAUCAGUGGGGAAUAUUGGACAAUGGGGGCAACCCUGAUCCAGCCAUGCCGCGUGUGUGAAGAAGGCCCUCGGGUUGUAAAGCACUUUCAGUGAGGAAGAACGCCUGGUGGUUAAUACCCAUCAGGAAAGACAUCACUCACAGAAGAAGCACCGGCUAACUCCGUGCCAGCAGCCGCGGUAAUACGGAGGGUGCGAGCGUUAAUCGGAAUUACUGGGCGUAAAGCGCGCGUAGGUGGCUUGAUAAGCCGGUUGUGAAAGCCCCGGGCUCAACCUGGGAACGGCAUCCGGAACUGUCAAGCUAGAGUGCAGGAGAGGAAGGUAGAAUUCCCGGUGUAGCGGUGAAAUGCGUAGAGAUCGGGAGGAAUACCAGUGGCGAAGGCGGCCUUCUGGACUGACACUGACACUGAGGUGCGAAAGCGUGGGUAGCAAACAGGAUUAGAUACCCUUGUAGUC